rnacentral:rRNA from 1 species
UACGUAGGGCGCAAGCGUUAUCCGGAAUUACUGGGCGUAAAGAGCUCGUAGGUGGUUUGUCGCGUUGUUCGUGAAAUCUCACGGCUUAACUGUGAGCGUGCGGGCGAUACGGGCAGACUAGAGUGAUGUAGGGGAGACUGGAAUUCCUGGUGUAGCGGUGAAAUGCGCAGAUAUCAGGAGGAACACCGAUGGCGAAGGCAGGUCUCUGGGCAUUAACUGACGCUGAGGAGCGAAAGCAUGGGGAGCGAACAGG